GACGUAGGGCGCGAGCGUUGUCCGGAUUUAUUGGGCGUAAAGAGCUCGUAGGCGGCUUGUUGCGUCGACUGUGAAAGCCCGUGGCUUAACCGCGUGGUCUGCAGUCGAUACGGGCAGGCUCGAGUUCGGUAGGGGAGACUGGAAUUCCUGGUGUAGCGGUGAAAUGCGCAGAUAUCAGGAGGAACACCGGUGGCGAAGGCGGGUCUCUGGGCCGAUACUGACGCUGAGGAGCGAAAGCGUGGGGAGCGAACAGG
rnacentral:rRNA from 1 species